rnacentral:lncRNA from 1 species
AUGGACAGAAGAAAGCAGAGCGCUUUCUUCAGACAUGGAAAAGUUCACAUGAUUCUUAAACCGUUGUCACCAUCCUCAUUCUGGAAGGAUACCCUGGGCAAGCUUUUCGUGUUUCUCAAAGAGUCGUUCCUGGUGCAAGAGAACCCUCAGGGCAUUUGUUCAAAACUCAGAUUUUGGCACAGUUCUAAGAAGAUGCUAGCCUAAUGAACUACCCAAAUAAUUCUGAACAGCAGCCAAGAUAGGGAGCAUCCGUCAGGGUGAGAACUGCUCGGCCCCCAUCUUCCUCUUUCUACCAGACAGACUAGGCUUCCCUGUGUAUGAUCUACUGCUGGAGAAAUGCUUUCUUUGUCUUUCUCUUUUCUCUCUUUUUUUCUUUCUUUCCUUCUUCUUCCCUCCCACACCCCUGGUUUUCAAGACAUGGUUUCUCUAUGUAACCUUGGCUGCCCUGGAACUCACUCUGUAGACCCAGCUGGUCUCCAACUGUCAGCCCUGCCUCUACUUCCCAAGAGCUGGGAUUAAAGUCAUAUGCCACCACAUUUGGCAAAGUUACAUCUUUCUGAAGGUAUCAUGUAUUGUUUGUCAGGCAUUUACUGUUCAAUAUAUUCAUUUUUAGAAUUUUAAUAUGUAAUACUCCCUGUACAAAACUCAAGAUAUACAUACAAUAACUCCCUCAUUGAGUAUGAGGGAAGUCUCUCUCACUUCUCCAACAGUUCUUGUCCCCAAG